UUGAGUGAAAAACCUACACUCUUAAAAGUGCUGGGUUAUUUCUGUAAACACAUUGUUGGGUUAAUUGUGCUGGGUCAAAAUUCUGGGUUGUUUGAGGUACUGUAAACACAUAGUUGGGUUGUUAGUGCUGGGUCAAAUGACUGCAAGGGGUUCUUUCACCACUGAGCACCUGGGUUUGUUUAUUUUUCCUCUUCAUCGAAUUUUCUGGAUUCUUCACUCGUCUCGUCGUCAGAUGGUCAAGCAACUCGCGGCAAGCAUGAUUAUAAGGUAACGUUAGCUGCAUUAGCUACCCUUAAAGUUAAACCACGAUAUUACUGGUAUGUAAUAUUAUUCUUAAAUGUUAUGUAAUAUUAUUCUUAAAUAUUGUUACUUAAAUGUAAUGUUAUCUUAGCUACAGUAUGUAAAGUUAGAAUUAAUCUCUCAUGGUGUAUGAGGUCCUUUUAAUCUUCCUCUUUUUUUAGUGAAUGCUCGUGUUGCUUUAAUCAGGACACAAGAGGUUUAUCCAGGUUAACAGUACGUUAGAGAGGCCAUGUAAAGUGUUCUUUAUAUGUUACUGUUAGAAAUAAUAAUUUAUAUUUGAGAUUGAUGAAUAAUAGGCAAAUCACUGGAUUUCCAGGCUGGCAUACUGUAUGGUUUUGCUAGCUUUCAACCCAGUUUUUCAUCCUUAUUUUACAGAAUCUGUUUUGCCUCCCAAAACAAAAUUGAGAUGAUGGAUUCGCAGCAAUGGGUCUACAAGCAUCCCAGAAAUCUUGAAGGAGUUCCCCAGGCUUCUGAGAAGCUUUGCAGGGAGGUUUCUUGAAGCAUUUUGGAGACGUUGCAACAGUUCUUCUGGAUUUAGUCUGUCUCAGUUUGUUCUGUUUAGACAGACUGAUGAUAACCAGAUCAGAUCUCUGUGUGGAGCACUGGCUGUUUUCAGACUCUUUGUGCAAACAAAAAUCUCACUGGAUUAUUACAUUAUUAUUAUUAUAUGUAUAUUAUAUAUAUGUAAUAAUUAUACUAUAUGUAAAUAUUAUUACAAUUAAUGGCAAAAUGAAUGUUUGGAAAUGUAAACUGAUAUUUCCUACAGACACAUUACAGCAAAAGAUCGAAAUAACUGACUUAAAACCUUUUUUCUAAUCUGCAUCCCCAAAGUCUUUUUUGUGCUUGAUGUUAGCUACACUAACAUCUUCCUUCCUGGGAAUUUCUCCAGCAUGCAGUAUAUCAUAUUGAUGGACAUGAGUCUUCAUGUGUGAAGUAUUUGAGGGCAACAGUUUUUUCUGGCCACUUGUAAUGUUAAAAUUUUUGUCACAUGUAUUGUCUAUUGUAGGUCUCUUUGUUUGGAUUAGUUUUAAUGGCACAAUAUUUGGACUGAUUCUCAUGUCGCAAUAAUCAAUUUCAUAGUGUUAUGAUGCUGCAAUGUUGACAAAGAAUAGGAAUCUACAGUACCUAGUUUACAAAGUUUUGUGUUUUAAAGAAACCGAUCUACAAAAACAGUUGUUUUAUUAGUGUCUG